rnacentral:rRNA from 1 species
CCUACGGGCGGCAGCAGUGAGGAAUAUUGGUCAAUGGGCGAGAGCCUGAACCAGCCAAGUCGCGUGAGGGAGUACUGCCCUAUGGGUUGUAAACCUCUUUUGUCGGGGAGUAAAAGCCGGACUGUUUCGGGUGUUAUAGUACCCGAAGAAAAAGCAUCGGAAAACUCCGUGCCAGCCGCCACGGUUAUAGGGGGGAUGCGGGCGUUAUCCGGUUUUUUUGGGUUUAAAGGGUGCGCUGGGGGAUGUUUAAAUCAGCGGUCAAAUCGUGGGGCUCAACCCCAUCAAGCCGUUGAUACUGGGGAUCUAGAGUGUGCGAGAGGUAUGCGGAAUGCGUGGUGUAGCGGUGAAAUGCAUAGAUAUCACGCAGAACCCCGAUUGCGAAGGCAGCAUACCGGUGCACAACUGACGCUCAGGCACGAAAGCGUGGGUAUCGAACAGGAUUAGAUACCCGAGUAGUC